AUAUCAAUAAGCGGAGGAAAAGAAACCAACAGGGAUUGCCUCAGUAACGGCGAGUGAAGCGGCAAAAGCUCAAAUUUGAAAUCUGGCUCUUUUAGGGUCCGAGUUGUAAUUUGUAGAAGAUGUUUCGGGUGUGGCUCCGGUUUAAGUUCUUUGGAAUAUUACAUCAUAGAGGGUGAGAAUCCCGUAUGUGACCGGCAGCCUUCGCCUAUGUGAAACUCUUUCGACGAGUCGAGUUGUUUGGGAAUGCAGCUCAAAAUGGGAGGUAUAUUUCUUCUAAAGCUAAAUAUUGGCCAGAGACCGAUAGCGCACAAGUAGAGUGAUCGAAAGAUGAAAAGCACUUUGGAAAGAGAGUUAAACAGUAC
rnacentral:rRNA from 1 species